rnacentral:rRNA from 1 species
UUGUUAAGUCAGAUGUGAAAUCCCCGGGCUCAACCUGGGAACUGCAUUUGAAACUGGCAAGCUGGAGUCUCGUAGAGGGAGGUAGAAUUCCAGGUGUAGCGGUGAAAUGCGUAGAGAUCUGGAGGAAUACCGGUGGCGAAGGCGGCCUCCUGGACGAAGACUGACGCUCAGGUGCGAAAGCGUGGGGAGCAAACAGGAUUAGAUACCCUGGUAGUCCACGCUGUAAACGAUGUCGAUUUGGAGGUUGUGCCCUUGAGGCGUGGCUUCCGGAGCUAACGCGUUAAAUCGACCGCCUGGGGAGUACGGCCGCAAGGUUAAAACUCAAAUGAAUUGACGGGGGCCCGCACAAGCGGUGGAGCAUGUGGUUUAAUUCGAUGCAACGCGAAGAACCUUACCUGGUCUUGAACCAGAGAAUCCUGCCGAUGCG